rnacentral:rRNA from 1 species
UUUUGUCCACAGUUAUAACUGAAAGGGUUUGGCGGUAAACUAGAUUCGUCCGGGGGAAUGUGCUCAUUAAAGAGAUGAUCCGCUAAUUAAUUUACUAUAAUUAUAUAAGUUAGUGUAUAUCCGUUUGUAGAUUUACGUUUAGAGACUUUAGUGAGUAAAAUAUUAGAUAAUUUAAGACAGGUCUAUAUGCUGCUAAUAUUAUAGGUUGUUGUGCGUUACAUUUAGAAGUAAAGGAGAUGAAAAUUACUUUAGUAUUCUUAGGACUCGGAAGUAGGAGUAAAAUAGUAUGUUGCUUCGAAGGUUGAAAUAGUUUAUGUACACAUCGCCCGACAAUCUCGAUGAUAAAUUGAGUUAA